CCUACGGGAGGCAGCAGUGAGGAAUAUUGGUCAAUGGGAGAGAUCCUGAACCAGCCAAGCCGCGUGAGGGAAGACGGCCCUAUGGGUUGUAAACCUCUUUUGUCGGGGAACAAACCCCGGGACGUGUCCCGUCCUGCGUGUAUCCUACGAACAAGCAUCGGCUAGCUCCGUGCCAGCAGCCGCGGUAAUACGGGGGAUGCGAGCGUUAUCCGGAUUUAUUGGGUUUAAAGGGUGCGUAGGCGGUCCGUUAAGUCAGCGGGAAAAUUGCGGGGCUCAACCCCGUCGAGCCGUUGAAACUGGCAGACUUGAGUGGGCGAGAGGUACGCGGAAUGCGCGGUGUAGCGGUGAAAUGCAUAGAUAUCGCGCAGAACUCCGAUUGCGAAGGCAGCGUACCGGAGCCAGACUGACGCUGAGGCACGAAAGCGUGGGGAUCGAACAGGAUUAGAUACCCGUGUAGUC
rnacentral:rRNA from 1 species